AACGAACGCUGGCGGCAUGCCUAACACAUGCAAGUCGAACGAGACCUUCGGGUCUAGUGGCGCACGGGUGCGUAACGCGUGGGAACCUGCCCUUAGGUUCGGCAUAACUCCCCGACAGGGGUGCUAAUACCGGAUAAUGUCUUCGAACCAAAGAUUUAUCGCCUUUGGAUGGGCCCGCGUUGGAUUAGCUAGUUGGUAGGGUAAAAGCCUACCAAGGCGACGAUCCAUAGCUGGUCUGAGAGGAUGAUCAGCCACACUGGGACUGAGACACGGCCCAGACUCCUACGGGAGGCAGCAGUGGGGAAUAUUGGACAAUGGGCGAAAGCCUGAUCCAGCAAUGCCGCGUGAGUGAUGAAGGCCUUAGGGUUGUAAAGCGCUUUUACCCGGGAUGAUAAUGACAGUACCGGGAGAAUAAGCUCCGGCUAACUCCGUG
rnacentral:rRNA from 1 species